GUGCUGCCUGGUGGGAAUCCCUCCCCGGCUGGGGAGAAAGGCAGUUGUUUUCCUCCUGGUGGAACGUUCCACUUGAAACUGUUCCACAAGGGCUGUUCUCGCCUCCGACUCGGGGAAGAACUGUAAUUAACACAGCAACAAACGCCCACGACGCUAACUGGCAAAGGGAGUGUAACACGAGCCGCUUCUCCGACCGAACUGGGCCAAUUGCUUUCCCUUCUUGCCUCCCCAUUUGGUCUGUUUUGGUUCCGCAAUCAUCCAACUGUGGCGUUUCUUAAAACAUGUCAGUGGCUGGUGUUUGUGUUUGGGGUUGAACAGUUUCACACACGUCGCUGGAGACGGUGCUCAACCAGCGGCUGGGCUGGGUCCCGGCUUUCCGCGGCUUCGGGAGUGUCAGAAAAAUGAAGUGACUAGAAGAAGAGGGUGGAGAUGAAGAAGGACGCCGGCCUCCUGCGAUCGCCUGCAGUCGGGUCGGAAGCCUCCCCCGGACGCGGACAGUGUCAACGCAUCGCCUUCAAAAUGUGCGGAAAAGGCAUGGCUUUGGAGAAAUGGAACCCUGCCCUCAGCUAAACGUCUGCGCCCUGUUUGAUGCUUAACAGCAGCUCUCCGCUAAUUACUGCCAAGGAGUAAAGAGUGGAGGGAAGGCAGAGCCCGCUCUACAGUCCAACCCAGAAGAGCUCGGAGAUUAGGUGGGGAACCAAAACUCAAAUAAGAACUAAGUAAUUAUACGAGAUAAUAAUUCAAGAGGUUACACAAGGCAGAGUAACUCAUAUGAGCAGCUUAAACAGUAUGUGCUACAUAUUUAGUGAAUUCACUGUGCUAAUUAGCUACCACCAAUUUUGUAUGUGUAUGUUCUCUCUAUAUACAGAUUCAUACAUGUAAACAAAUAUAUGUAUAUGUGUAUAUUAUAUAUAGAGAGAGAGAGACAGAGUAUGUAUUCUAACAUGGUGCCUCACACAGAGCAGGUGAUCAAUAUUUACCACGUCAAUAGCUGGACCCUAUUACAACAUAUUCUCCUGGAAAAAGAAGAAUUUUUUGUUUUAAACCAAACCAACGUGGAUCUGUUCCAAAAUAAAAUGUAUUACCA